rnacentral:rRNA from 1 species
CCCAGACUCCUACGGGAGGCAGCAGUGGGGGAUAUUGCACAAUGGGGGGAACCCUGAUGCAGCGACGCCGCGUGGGUGAAGGAGCGUUUCGGCGCGUAAAGCCCUAUCGGCAGGGAAGAAGGAGGACGGUACCUGACUAAGAAGCCCCGGCUAACUACGUGCCAGCAGCCGCGGUAAUACGUAGGGGGCAAGCGUUAUCCGGAUUUACUGGGUGUAAAGGGGGCGCAGACGGCAGCGCAAGCCAGGAGUGAAAGCCCGGGGCCCAACCCCGGGACUGCUCUUGGAACUGCGCGGCUGGAGUGCAGGAGGGGCAGGCGGAAUUCCUGGUGUAGCGGUGAAAUGCGUAGAUAUCAGGAGGAACACCGGUGGCGAAGGCGGCCUGCUGGACGGCGACUGACGUUGAGGCCCGAAAGCGUGGGGAGCAAACAGGAUUAGAUACCCCAGUACCC